GAUGAACAGAUCUGUGUAAUUUGCAAAAGAAUCUGCCAAAGUAGAUUUCUUUGAUUAAAUGAGAAGCUGAAGUGUUAUUCCUGUGGGGAUCUCAUGAUGUUAGACUCAUUUGUGUUUCUGUUGCAGUUCUAAUCUCUGUCAUGGUUUGUCAUUUUCAGCAGCAGAAAUCUGAAGACACUGAAGGAGCAAGGGUGAAGAAAAGGAGGAGAUUCCCUCACUGGAGGCUAAAAUGCAGUCUGCUCAGCAACUUGAUGGAAGAAGAAGAAAAAGGUCAAAGGUGGAACGGUGUAACAGCAACACCAUGUGGCGUACAAAUAACAGGAGCCAGAGCUGGACUUACCACUGUCUAUCUCCUGCUGAAGCUGCUGGUUUAUUAUACCCACUGAGAAAUUAAAUGUCAUGAAGGGCUUUGACCAUCUGAAGGACAUGCUGGUAUCCUGGCUGACCAUCAGGACCCUGAACCUCUUCCUGUGACAGAAGGACAGUUGGCAAACACAAACUAAAGAAGGGUUAACCCUAAACCUGUGAUAUGUAGCAGCUGUUAACACAACUGAUCCAGAAUGUGAAAAUCUUUUAACCAGCCUGGCAUGUAAAAAAGACAUUUUUUUUUUCUUGCUUUUUUUCAAACAAGCAAAAUCUAUGAACAGUUUUGUUGUUAAAGUUGGCUCAUGUAUACAGACAAGUCAACAAACUUUUCCACAAAGAUAUAAUUUCAGCACUUAAAGCAAUCAAUUUCUUGUUAGAAUAAAUUAAAAAUAUGGCACUUGCGUCCAAUUGAAAAGACGGCAGGCAUUACAGUAAAAGGUGGUAGCAGUAUUGAGAAAUUGAAAUAAAUCCGGCCAUUUGAUUGGUUGAAAAAUUAAAACAUUCUCAGUUGGGGGGAUUCUUGGUAUUGUGGGGGAUCUGCUGUGUGCAAUCAACUAUGUUGUUACAAAUCUAAAUGGAAACUUGUUUUAAGAUAAAUCAGUUCUACUUCUUAAAAAAAAAACCAUAAGAUUCUCAUCCAAAAUAUUUGGAUAAAAAAUUGAAAAACUUUGAGAAGUUUUAGUAUGCGUUGUGUCUGCUCUGGUGCAACAGCUGCAGCUUUGGUGGAUUUCCUCUUUCUGAAGCCGGUGGCUCUGGGCACGCACUAAAGAGGUGGUGAAGCUGUAGAAUCCAGCAGGGGGCUGCUGGGAUUCAGCAACAGCUCGUACUGAUGGCAGUGACCUCUUCUCCUCUGGUAUAUUAUGCAUAUUAUGUAGUUGUAGGGCUGUCAAUGUCUCACCUGAUCCAAGGACAGCACUUUAGCUGCAGGGACACAGCUGGAGCAGCAGGAAGGAGUCUAGCUUCCUGCUCAGGCACAGUCCUCUCCCACUUUCUUUGCCAACAGGAGAACCUGGAGACGCAGAGAUGCUGGAACUACAACAGGAUCCUCUGGUUCAGCUGAAACAGCUGAAGUCUGGUCUAAGCCAUUAGCCUGAAGUUCCCACAAACUGCCUCAAUGAUGGCCACAUAGUCAUCCAAGACCAGAGACAACAGGUCUUCAGGACCCCCCAGUUCUCGUAGCCGACAGAUGAAGGCUGCAAAUGGCAUCCACCAGUCAGUUGGCAUCAGGCCAUUUAGCAAGAACAGUGUUCAGUCCAGAAGGCCGCUGGAGUUUUGUAGAAGAAAUGACGGUCUGAAAAAAAGAAGCAAAUUUCAACGCAAGUAAAACAGUUCUAGAAACCAUCCUCUUGGGGAAGGAAAUCUCCUUCCCAGGACAGGAAGUGUUUCUCCCUUUCGCAGAAUUGAAGCCUCCUAUAGGCUGUCUCUCCCUUUGCCUGCAGGACAGACAACACGCUCUUUUGUCACAGUCUGGCAGCUGUUCCAAGAGCUAGAAGAAGAACCUAUAAGAAUAAAAGAACUUUCGCACGCUCCAGGUCUUUUGGAGCUCUGACACACCAUCCUCCUGACCACGCUCGUUACCAACGUUGGUAGCCCUGGGGGCAUGUUAGCUUCAGACCUCAGUUCCUGUAAGGCAUCCACAGGAACACCUAACACUCAAAGAACGGGUCACAGGAGAUUGGGCGGGUUCUGCGCAUGAUUUUUGGCGGUGUUCCCUGGUAGGUGUAGCGGCGUUUCCCUAUAGGGGCCUCGUCGCAGGUAUUUUGUUUAGUGUGGAGGUACGGCGGGUAGAGCUUCCCUCUUCCCUUCCCCUACGUCGGCUCGGGAGCACUUCCAUGGUUUCAGGGGGUGAUCAGCUUGUCUGGUUGCUUUUCCGGACCAUCGGGUUCUGAGUGCGUAAAUACCCCCCGCUACGCCUCCCGAAGACUAGGGCUGAGUUAGCUAGUUUUGGGUUAGGCAGUUAGUGGGACACACCUGCUUCUAGUGCGCAUUGCUUGUUGUUUUUUGCCACCCCUUUUGCGUGUUUACAACCAUGAACAGUGUGCUACGUUUACAAGGUUGGACACGAGAAGUUGCUGAUCAUGAAUCCUUGAGUAUUCCACAGUUCUUCUGACCGUGCUUCUUAUUCCUGGCGCUGCUUCACUUCAAUGUCUUUCCCCUGAAGGCUUGGGAAAAGUGUCUCUUUCUGAGUAAAAAAACAUAGGUGUGGGUUAGUUUUUGACAUUCUAUACUUCUGGUGGAAAAGUUUUUCUAAUCGGACAUGCAACCUUUAAGUAUGUUUGAGAACUGUAUUUAAUGAAAGAUCAAAGGGUGUCAUUCUUGUGCAAUUUGCUGAAGUUCAUUGGCCAUUCUUACCAUGAUUGUUAUGCCAUCUUGUCUUGGUUCAUCUUCCUCAUCCAUAUCAAAACUCAUGGCCUCUUCUCCAUGGUCCUCACUUGGUGGCUUUGUUGUCUCUGCCAGGUGUUCAACAGUCAGUGGUUGUGAAGGAGCAUCAAUCAGGACAUUGUCACCAAGAGUCAUAUCAUUAAAGCCAGAUUAUUCACAGCUGUAUCUACCAAAGAGUGAUGGAUCUUAUUUUGAGAGCAUUUGGUCUGCCUUACAGUCUUUUUGGAAAUUUUUGUAAUCAUAAUCUUAGGUUACAAAUAAAACAAUAGCCUCUUUUCAACAUACUCAAGCACUGUUUGUCUGAUGGUACAGAUACUCCACCCUGAUGAGUGUAGAAAGAGAGCUCAGGUCAUUUUUGUAGACAUGCACCUCUGGCUUAUUUUGUAAGACUUCACUUGUAUACCCAGUAAAAAUAUGUAAAAUCCUUAAUCAUCUGAAGACCAAGCACCCUUUGGCUCUUCAAGCUAAAGGUAUGCUUGAGCUGGCCACUGUAGGAGUACAGAGGUGGCAGAUGUUCCUUAGAUGCUGGUCCAGACCUCGUUCCACCUCACCAUUUCAUCAAUCAGUAACGUCUGGAACAUCACAUGUCUCUGAUGGAACCAUGUAAACAUCAGCAGUUAGGUUUACAGAUGCGAAAUUGCACAUACGAUCCAAGUUUCCACAUUUACCCUCAAAUUGAACAAGACCUGCAGUUACCUGGGAUGAACCACUGGAGGUUGAAGGACUCCAGAGAGGCGGAGCCUCUUGCACUGUCAGGCUAAUCCCGCCUUUAGUCAGCCUUCCAGUCUCUGUGUAGAGCUGCACCUGUGGCCAGUCUUGAAUAGAGCUGAGGUGCAGCCUCUAGGUGCUCCAGAUCUCCUCCAUGUGUAGAGGGUUCAGCUACAGGAUGUCCAGGGUCUUACAUCCUUCCGGGCCGUUGAAGCUGUCUAGAAGGUUCUGAAUGAUGAGCGCCGUUUCCUCAACUCCACAUGUCUAAUGUCGACAGUGGUGCCCCCACUUCUCGUUGGAAACCCUCUGGAUCACGUCCGCAUCCGUCAGGCCAACUAUCGCAUGCUUAGCCUGAGUGAGAUGGUGGGUAUCUCCAGAGUUCCCCUCGAAGAUGCAAUGAGACAGCUGCCUCAUGAAAGUGGGAUAGAGCUGGUGGCUCUCAUUGGUGACACCUGAUGCAAAGUGUCGCAUCAGGUGCCAGAUGUCCAGUCGAACCACCAGUCGCUCCCACUCCUAAACGAUAAACACCAACAGACUAUUAGGACAGAAGGCUGUCUGACACGUCAGCAGUAAUAACAUCAUCAUUGCAAAGUUGAGUUUGUACUGAAAACAAGGCAGCUGUCUUGGACACGCCGUCUCGACUGCAGCAGUCCCGGUCCAUAUAGAUGAGCUGGGUGGGGGAGGAACCUUGGCGAGUUGAUACCGCCUCAUGAGCCUGGUCGUUACCCUCAGAGCAGGUAAGGACGCUCAUGAGGACCUGACCAUGCUCGUUGCCGACUUUAUUGGCCCAGGCGGCUGAGUCAGAGGCGGCUCCUGCGAGAUUCUUCGUCACCUGAACAUGGAUGUUUUUUUUUAAAUGGAGAUGUUUCCUAAGAACAGAUUCAGACUGCUGUGUCAGAAUCCACAAUAGAAAACACUCCCAAACCUUCUUGGUGGAGUCAAUCUUCAGGAUGUACCCGAAGGUGGGCGUGAUCCUGGCCUUGUACUCGUCCAGCCACGUCAGGACGUCGUAGCUAUACACCGUUAGCAGCCAGAUGGGUGACGGCAGAGGGGGCAUAGGUGGAGGUUGUGGAAACUGCCCCCUCACGCUGCCCAAGGCCAGGAACUGCUUGCAGAUGCCAAGGUAGUGGACCGCUCUCCGCAUCCAGGAGUCGGAGUGCUGCUCCUGCAGGGUGUUGUACAGCCGGUUAGCACUGUUGCCCAACAUGUGAGACCUGAGCUGUGCAAUCGCCCUCUGGUCACAGGACAGCCUGCAUCAACACAAGCACAAAAUACAAACAUGUAAUCAAAGUUUUACACACAGACUAAAAUGUGGCUCAGUGUUGCCUCUUACUUGUGAGUACAGCUGGAAACUGGCAGCUGUAGGUGGGGGCCAGCUGCCUUAUGAUGCCCUGUGACCACCCCCCGACCUCCUUCUUACACCGACGGCACUCCAGGUACUCAGUGGCCAUGAGAUACCAGACGGCGAUGUCCAGCCUUUGUCAGAGACCCGUCACACAAAGGCUGGGGGCAUGUCAGCUGCAGACACCAGAUCCUGUGAGGCAUCCACAGGAACAGCUGACAUGCGAAGAAGAGGUCAGGAGAUGCGGGAGGUUGGUUGUAGAUUUGGGCAGGGUUGGGGAGGGUUCCACCUCAGAUUUAGCUCAGUGGUGAGCCUAGACUUCCCCGAGCUGUCCCUGGACAGCACCCGCCCAAUCCACUGCUGCCGCUCUGCAGUGAGAGCUGCCCGCCAGGACUCGGGCAGCAACUGAAGAGAGAAAAAGAAGGAGCUUUCAUUAAUGACUGCUGUUAGAGUCACAUUGAAACAAAAAGCUGCAUCUACUGUCACAUCACCUCAGCACUGCCAGCAGACGCAGGAGGUGGAACACCAGCUGGAGCUGGCUGCUCCUCAGUCUCAGCCACAUCAUCAGGGGGAGAAGGUGGAGCGCCAGGAGCAGAAGGAGUCUAUACUUGUGAGGCUGAAAGAGAAAAACAGAUUUUAAAGUAAAAAAAAAAAACAAAAGAAACUAACCAAAUUAGUGAGUCAGACAUGCUCACAAAUAAAUAUGAAUGAGUUUAGUUCUAAUGCAGAAGCUAUUAGAGGUUGAUUAGAUAUGAAAAGUUAACAUUUGGGAUUUAAUGAUGGACAGAUGCUAAAAGAAAAAAGACGUGACCGCAAUAGGAGAGAGGCUUGGUGUUCAUACGUGGGCUCCUCGGAUGUUCUGGAGGAAGAAGCUGGUGUGGAGGAGCAUGGACACACCACAGUACCACAUGAAGUCAUGACGUUCAUGUGUAACAUACCUGGAAAUGCAGGCUUGCCCAGAAGAUUCUUCACUUUGUCUGAGUUGGAAAUGCAAGCUAGAGAACGCCGGCCAGAGACGAACGCUGUCAAUCUAAAAACAAAAAAAGAUGUUAAAAGUGAAUUUAUAAGAACACAGGUAAAAAAAAAAGUGCAGUGAACAGCUUUGAGACUAAAGCAUCAUACCUAUGAACUGCUUUAGCUGCCAUGCCUGGUGUAGCUGAUGCAGAGCUGCUGCAGCUUUCUCCUUGUCUCUGGCCUUGAUGAAGCGUAUGGCGUUCUCCAUCUGUGUUCCUGGAGCAGGAAACUUCCUCCCCAAGUAGUUGACAAAACUGAUACAUGAAAUAAAUAGAAAUUACAGUGAGGGGACACAGGUUUACCUAAUUAAUGCAACAUCAAGCACUGCUCUUCUCCAUCUUCUCAUAAUCUGAUGUUAUUGUCAGUUAAGCCUAAAAAGGUCCAUCAUCUCAUACUGAUGACAAACUUCGUAUUGAUUUUCAGUGAUUACGUACCGGAUCUUCUUGGGGUCCUCAGACUUGUACAGACUCCGCAGGGUCUCAGAUUUAAAAUCCCCAAAGCCAACAAGGUCCUGUCCCUCCUGUCCAGGCUGAAGUGACCUCACCCGUGCCUCCUCAAACGCCUGGUGGAACCUGACUGCCUCCACAAAGUCAGGGUAGGCGGAGGAGUACCGGAUGAGGGCGUCCUGCAGGUCCAAAAGGUCUAUUAAAACCGUCACACUUUAAACUAGAAUAAAUAAAUCUUAUAUACAUCACCUUCUUGUUGGCCAUCAGGAGGGACUGGACCCUGUCCUCUCUCUCUCCUUCUGGUGGGAGGACUCCAGGCUGAUGGCGUAGCCCACGUCGGUUUCCAGCAGCCAGUGGAAGGUUCUGUCUUGGUACUUCCUGAACUGAAUCUUCCGCCGGCUCGGCACCAGGAUGUGGUUGUUGAUAUCCCCACCCUUGUUUAUGAUGUGGGCCCGUGCCUCCCUCUCCACCUCCUCCGGGGACUUGGCCCAGUGGCUCUCCUUGGGAGUACCCAGGGCUCCGUCCUCAUCCGAGGCUUUCAGGAGGAGCGUCCCAUUUGACGCCCUCCUGAAAACUGGAAAACACCAUCUAAUGGCCACAUAGUCCUGCAAAGCUAGGAACAAACAGGUCUUCAGAACCCCUACAGUUCUCAUUUCUGAUGGAUGAAGGUGGCAGAGCUGGCUGUAAAUGGUCUCAACCAGGCGGCUGGGCCACUUUGCAGGGCCAGCUUUCAGUCCCAGAAGGCCACUGGAUUUAUGUUAAAGAAAUGACGGGCCAAAAACAUGAAGCAGAUUUCAAAGUAAGUGAAAGAGUUCUAUAAACCAAUCCUACCAUUGGAGACUGUCCUUCCAAGGACAGGAAGUUUUCUUCUCCUUUGCAGCCUUGAAGCAACCUUUAGGCUGUCUCUCUCAGUGUCUGCAAAACAGACGAGCUGCUGUUUGUCAUAGUCUGGGUGGCUAUCCCAGAGUGCAACUAUUCUAUCCAUCCUACUGCGAGACUAAACCUAUGAGCUGCUUUAGCUGCCACGCCUGGUGGAGCUGAUGUAGAGCUGCUGCUGCAGGUAGAUGAAAUGGCGGCGGCAGCAGCUUUCUCCUUGUCUCAGGCCUUGAUGAAGCGUAUGGCGUUCUCCAUCUGUGUUCCUGGAGCAGGAAUCUUCCUCCGCAAGUAGUUGACAAGACUGAUACAUGAAAUAAAUAGAAAUUUUAGUGAGGGGAGACAGGUUUAUCUGAUUAAUGCAACCUCAAGCACUGCUCUUCUCCAUCUUCCCAUAAUGUGUUAUUGUCAGUUAAAGUUAAAAAGUGACAUUAUUUCGAAGACUGGAUGUUCAAUCUAAACAAAGCAAAGACAAUAAAAAAACUCCAGAGAUGUUGAUGAAAAUAAUUAAAUAAGAUAUCCUCCUACCUUGA